rnacentral:rRNA from 1 species
CACGUAGGCACCAAGCGUUAUCCGGAUUUAUUGGGCGUAAAGAGCUCGUAGGCGGUUCGGUAAGUCGGGUGUGAAAACUCUGGGCUCAACCCAGAGAGGCCACCCGAUACUGCUGUGACUAGAGUGCGGUAGGGGAGCGGGGAAUUCCUGGUGUAGCGGUGAAAUGCGCAGAUAUCAGGAGGAACACCUGUGGUGUAGACGGCUUACUGGACCAUGACUGACGCUGAGGCACGAAAGCGUGGGGAGCAAACAGG